rnacentral:antisense_RNA from 1 species
CUUGAUCGACCCGAGCCACAGCGGCUGGGCGGCUGGACGAUCCUGUCCGUACGUCGAUAAAAGGGCCUGAGCUUC